UGUGAAGUUUCACUGUUCAUGCAGUGGAACUUCCUUCUUACAGUUAGUCACCGCGCGCAAAAAUGCAAUUUUUUCUGUUUUUCUUCCGUCUCUUUGUAAAUCUUUUCACCGGAGCGCAUGCUCGACCUAUGAGCACGGCCGCUAACGCGACCGACCCAGUUCAUCUUGGCGCUUAUUAUUCUUCUGCAUGCAGUCUCCUGAUUAUGGACAUGCUUGCCGGUGUGACAAGAACCAGGAACCAGGAAUUCCUGGUUCUUUGUCAAAUUGGCAAGCAUGUCCAUCACAUUGGCUGUCAUGUUCGAACAUGACAACCACUUACUCCUCACUCUGACCCGUAAGCAGGAAAAGGACGGCGAAGUGGACCGGGGACUUAUAACAGUAAAUCCAAAGUCGACCUCACUGUACUUUUCCUGCUUACACCGCCGCUGUUUCAAUUAGCCUUAUUGCGGGUGUUUUGAGCACCGUGGCUCUAUCGAAAUGUGUUCAACGAUGGAGAAAUCGUGACUGAUGCUUGAUCAGUGUUUCUGGCAAGCUGUCGUUCGUGUGGAUUAGGAUGUUGUAUACUCCUUAAAUCGCUUCACCCUUA